rnacentral:misc_RNA from 1 species
UUUCCGUAGGUGAACCAGCGGAGGGAUCAUUACAGGAUCGAAAGACUCCUAUAACCCCUGUGAACUUACUACAAAUACGUUGCUUCGGCGGGUGCCCCGGGUCUCCCGGGGCGUUCAGCCCGCCGGCAGCCUUCAAAUUCUGUUUCUUUGCGUUGGCAUCUCGAGUAUACAAAAAUAAGUUAAAACUUUCAACAACGGAUCUCUUGGUUCUG